rnacentral:rRNA from 1 species
GUGGGGAAUCUUGCGCAAUGGGCGAAAGCCUGACGCAGCCAUGCCGCGUGGAUGAUGAAGGUCUUAGGAUUGUAAAAUCCUUUCACCGGUGAAGAUAAUGACUGUAGCCGGAGAAGAAGCCCCGGCUAACUUCGUGCCAGCAGCCGCGGUAAUACGAAGGGGGCUAGCGUUGCUCGGAUUUACUGGGCGUAAAGGGCGCGUAGGCGGACAUUUAAGUCAGGGGUGAAAUCCCGGGGCUCAACCUCGGAACUGCGUUUGAUACUGGGUGUCUUGAGUAGGAGAGAGGGGUGUGGAACUCCGAGUGUAGAGGUGAAAUUCGUAGAUAUUCGGAAGAACACCAGUGGCGAAGGCGACACACUGGCUCAUUACUGACGCUGAGGCGCGAAAGCGUGGGGAGCAAACAGGAUUAGAAACCCCGGUAGUCC